rnacentral:rRNA from 1 species
AUACGAAGGGUGCUAGCGUUGUUCGGAAUUACUGGGCGUAAAGAGCAUGUAGGCGGAUUGAUUAGUCAGAGGUGAAAGCCCCGAGCUCAACUUGGGAAUUGCCUUUGAUACUGUCAAUCUAGAGACCGAGAGAGGUGAGUGGAAUUCCCAGUGUAGAGGUGAAAUUCGUAGAUAUUGGGAAGAACACCAGUGGCGAAGGCGGCUCACUGGCUCGGUACUGACGCUGAGAUGCGAAAGCGUGGGGAGCAAACGGGAUUAGAAACCCCAGUAGUCC